rnacentral:rRNA from 1 species
GACGAACGCUGGCGGUAUGCUUAACACAUGCAAGUCGAACGAGAAGUCUUUUAUUGAACCUUCGGGGGAUAUAAGAGACAGACAGUGGCGAACGGGUGAGUAACGCGUGGGCAACCUACCUAUCGGAGCGGGAUAGCCUCGAGAAAUCGGGAGUAAAACCGCAUGACACGGAUAUAUCGCAUGAUGAAUCCGUCAAAACUCCGGUGCUGAUAGAUGGGCCCGCGUCUGAUUAGCUAGUUGGUAAGGUAAGGGCUUACCAAGGCAACGAUCAGUAGCCGGUCUGAGAGGGCGAACGGCCACACUGGAACUGAGACACGGUCCAGACUCCUACGGGAGGGCAGCAGUGGGGAAUAUUGCGCAAAUGGGGGCAAACCCCUGACGCAAGCCAAUUACCGCGUGAAGUGAAAGAAAGGUUUUUCGGAUUCG